rnacentral:rRNA from 1 species
GAUGAACGCUAGCGACAGGCUUAACACAUGCAAGUCGAGGGGCAGCAUGAGGUAGCAAUACCUUGAUGGCGACCGGCGCACGGGUGAGUAACGCGUAUGCAACCUGCCCGAUACCGGGGUAUAGCCCAUGGAAACGUGGAUUAACACCCCAUAGUACUUUUAUCCUGCCUGGGAUGGGAGUUAAAUGUUCAAGGUAUCGGAUGGGCAUGCGUCCUAUUAGUUAGUUGGCGGGGUAACAGCCCACCAAGACGAUGAUAGGUAGGGGUUCUGAGAGGAAGGUCCCCCACAUUGGAACUGAGACACGGUCCAAACUCCUACGGGAGGCAGCAGUGAGGAAUAUUGGUCAAUGGACGAGAGUCUGAACCAGCCAAGUCGCGUGAGGGAAGACUGCCCUAUGGGUUGUAAACCUCUUUUAUAAGGGAAGAAUAAGUUCUACGUGUAGAAUGACGCCUGUACCUUAUGAAUAAGCAUCGGCUAACUCCGUGCCAGCAGCCGCAGUAA